AUUGAACGCUGGCGGCAUGCUUUACACAUGCAAGUCGAACGGUAACAGGCCUUCGGGUGCUGACGAGUGGCGAACGGGUGAGUAAUGCAUCGGAACGUGCCCAGAGGUGGGGGAUAACGCAGCGAAAGCUGUGCUAAUACCGCAUGUGAUCUGAGGAUGAAAGCGGGGGACCAGGCAGCAAUGUUUGGCCUCGCGCCUUUGGAGCGGCCGAUGUCAGAUUAGGUAGUUGGUGGGGUAAAGGCCUACCAAGCCGACGAUCUGUAGCUGGUCUGAGAGGACGACCAGCCACACUGGGACUGAGACACGGCCCAGACUCCUACGGGAGGCAGCAGUGGGGAAUUUUGGACAAUGGGCGCAAGCCUGAUCCAGCAAUGCCGCGUGCGGGAAGAAGGCCUUCGGGUUGUAAACCGCUUUUGUACGGAACGAAAAGGCUCUGGCUAAUACCUGGGGCUGAUGACAGUACCGUAAGAAUAAGCACCGGCUAACUACGUG
rnacentral:rRNA from 1 species